rnacentral:misc_RNA from 1 species
UGGCUCUGGCAUCGAUGAAGAACGCAGCGAAAUGCGAUAAGUAAUGUGAAUUGCAGAAUUCAGUGAAUCAUCGAAUCUUUGGACGCACAUUGCGCCCCGUGGUAUUCCGCGGGGCAUGCCUGUUCGAGCGUCAGUACAACCCUCAAGCUCUGCUUGGUCUUGAGCCUCGCCGGCAACGGCGGGCUUUAAAAUCAGUGGCGGCGCCGUCGGGCUCUGAGCGAAGUAACUACACCCGCUACGGAGCCUGGCCGGCUGCUUGCCAGCAACCCCCACUUCUAAGUUUGACCUCGGAUCAGGUAGGGAUACCCGCUGA